AGGGGGAGGCCGGAUCCUGGGCUGUGUCCCCCACACCCUGUGCUCCCGGGCCUGCGCUGUUGGAUUUGCGAUACGGGCUGCGCAGCCCCAC
rnacentral:pre_miRNA from 1 species